AUGGUUUCGGUUUCAUCCUCUCCGCCUCGUCGGAUCGUCGUGCCUGCACCAACCUGCCCAGCUCCAUGGUUAUUUCCCUGGGAGGAUUUCCUGCUCUCACGCGCUGCUCAGUCUCCAAGUCAGCCGCGCGCUGCUCAGUCUCCAAGUCAGCCGCGCGCUGCUCAGUUUCCAGUUCAGCCGCGCGCUGCUCAGUCUCCAGAUCAGCCGCGCGCUGCUCAGUCUCCAGUUCAGCCGCGCGCUGUUCAAUCUCCAGCUCAAUCGUGCUUUGCCCAGUCUCCAGCUCAAUCGUGUUUUGCCCAGUCUCCUGCUCAAUCGUGUUUUCCCCAGUCUCCAGCCCAAGCUCCAGACGCCGCGGUCCCGUUUCACCAUGCGGAUCCCGGUACAGAGGUCCGGUCCACACCGCGCCCAGCGCCUCAAACGACGGACAGUCGCAGCUGCUCCGGACGGCGACGGCGGCGGCGCGGGUCCAGGAUCCCGGGUCCCGCGGUCUCGGUCAUGGGGGCCGAGCAGCCUUCUUCCCCGACAGAGGAGCCCCUUAAUUCUCUGACUGACUGUGUCCCUCUGAUAACAGGCAUCCCAGACAGCGUCGCCCGACGGGUCCACCUCCUCUGCUCUCCUCCAGUUGCCUUUCUCUUCGCCCACCUCAUGAACACCGCCAAUUCGGCUACAGACCAGGGCGCGAGAGAACAACUGUUCGAGGAAGCAGCCGCUCUCGUCCGGAGGGAGCCUGUCCUGCGUGAGGCCCUGCAACUCCCGGGCCUGCAGCCAGCGGUCGCUUCAUGCCCCACCUCUCAGUCAGGUCAGCCGUGUGUUACUCAUGCCCCGGUGCAGCCCUGUCGUCUCCAGGUCCCAGCCCAGUCGAACCUAGUCCAGACCCCAGAUCAGCCGUGUGUUGCCCAGACCCCAGAUCAGCCGUGUGUUGCCCAGACCCCAGAUCAGCCGUGUGUUGCCCAGACCCCAGAUCAGCCGUGUGUUGCCCAGACCCCAGAUCAGUCGUGUGUUGCCCUGACCCCAGUUCCGUCCUUGUCCCCGUCAGAGGGCGCCGUCCGUCUGACGACUGUUAACCCCACCCAAUCAGGCCCGACGUCUCCCCCGUCGAGCUCGGCAGCUGUAAGCUGUCAUGCCAGCUCCGGAGGGGACGCCGUUCCAGUCCCUGUCGGCCAUGUUGCGGCCGUUCCAGUCCCUGUCGGCCAUGUUGCGGCCGUUCUAGUUCCUGUCGGCUCCUCAGAGGAGGACGCCGUUCUAGUUCCUGUCGGCUCCUCAGAGGAGGACUCCGUUCCUGUUCCCGUCGGCCAUAUUGAGGCCGUUCUAGUUCCAGUUCCUGUCGGCUCCUCAGAGGAGGACGCCGUUCUAGUUCCUGUCGGCCAAGCAGAGGCCGUUCCAGUUCCUGUCGGCCAUGUUGAGGUCGUUCCAGUUCCUGCCGGCCAUGUUGCGGUCGUUCCAGUUCCUGUCGGCCAUGUUGAGGUCGUUCCAGUUCCUGUCGGCCAUGUUGAGGUCGUUCCAGUUCUUGUCGACCAAGUUGAGGUCGUUCCAGUUCCUGUUCCUGUCGGCCAUGUUGAGGUCGUUCCAGUUCCUGUCCCUGUCGACCAAGUUGAGGUCGUUCCAGUUCCUGUUCCUGUCGGCCAUGUUGAGGUCGUUCCAGUUCCUGUCCCUGUCGACCAAGUUGAGGUCGUUCCAGUUCCUGUUCCUGUCGGCCAUGUUGAGGUCGUUCCAGUUCCUGUCCCUGUCGACCAUGUUGAGGUCGUUCCAGUUCCUGUCCCUGUCGACCAAGUUGAGGUCGUUCCAGUUCCUGUCCCUGUCGACCAAGUUGAGGUCGUUCCAGUUCCUGUCCCUGUCGACCAAGUUGAGGUCGUUCCAGCUCCUGUCCCUGUCGACCAAGUAGAGGGCGUUCCCGUAGGCCAAGUAGAGGGCGUUCCCGUAGGCCAAGUAGAGGGCGUUCCCGUAGGCCAAGUAGAGGGCGUUCCCGUAGGCCAAGUAGAGGGCGUUCCCGUAGGCCAAGUAGAGGGCGUUCCCGUAGGCCAAGUAGAGGGCGUUCCCGUAGGCCAAGUAGAGGUCACCCCUGUCUCUGACCCCGUUCCUGUCGGCCCUGUAGCAGUCGUUCCAUUCCCCGUUCCCGUCGGCCCUGUAGCGGUCGUUCCAGUCCCCGUCACCCUUGGAGCCGCAGCGCCCGCCGGCCUCCAGGAGGAGGCAGCACCUGCAGUUCCUGCGCACCUCCAGGAGGAGGUCGCGCCAGUCGCAGUUCCUGCGCACCUCCAGGAGGAGGUCGCGCUAGCCGCAGUUCCUGCGCACCCCCAGGAGGAGGUCGCGCUAGUCGCAGUUCCUGCGCACCUCCAGGAGGAGGUCGCGCUAGUCGCAGUUCCUGCGCACCUCCAGGAGGAGGUCGCGCCAGCUACAGCUCCUGCGCACCUCCAGGAGGAGGUCGCGCCAGCCGCAGUUCCUGCGCACCUCCAGGAGGAGGUCGCGCUAGUCGCAGUUCCUGCGCACCUCCAGGAGGAGGUCGCGCUAGUCGCAGUUCCUGCGCACCUCCAGGAGGAGGUUGCGCCAGUCGCAGUUCCUGCGCACCUCCAGGAGGAGGUUGCGCCAGUCGCAGUUCCUGCGCACCUCCAGGAGGAGGUUGCGCCAGUCGCAGUUCCUGCGCACCUCCAGGAGGAGGUUGCGCCAGUCGCAGUUCCUGCGCACCUCCAGGAGGAGGUUGCGCCAGCCGCAGUUCCUGCGCACCUCCAGGAGGAGGUUGCGCCAGCCGCAGUUCCUGCGCACCUCCAGGAGGAGGUU
rnacentral:lncRNA from 1 species